rnacentral:rRNA from 1 species
AAUGCUUUGCUUGAAGAGAAAUUACUUAAAGUUGCUGAUUUGGCUAGGAACGUUGAUAGAAUUUCUCUUGAAAUUGAUUCUUUAAAGCUUAGAUCUCUUCCUCCUAAGCAUGAUAUCAAUGAGUCCCUCAAAGCCAUGAGAAUUUCCAUUGAUGAGUGCAAGGAAAGAACCGCUAGGAUGCGUGCUUCAAAAGAUGCCUUUAUUAAAGCGUGUUCUUCCAAUUCCUAUGAAAAUCAAGAUGAAGAUCUAAAAGUUAUUGAUGUGUCCCCCAUUAAAUCUUUAUUUUGCAAUAUGAAUUAA